GACGAACGCUGGCGGCGUGCUUAACACAUGCCAGUCGAACGAAGAGCGAUGGAAGCUUGCUUCUAUCAAUCUUAGUGGCGAACGGGUGAGUAACGCGUAAUCAACCUGCCCUUCAGAGGGGGACAACAGUUGGAAACGACUGCUAAUACCGCAUACGAUCUAAUCUCGGCAUCGAGGAUAGAUGAAAGGUGGCCUCUACAUGUAAGCUAUCACUGAAGGAGGGGAUUGCGUCUGAUUAGCUAGUUGGAGGGGUAACGGCCCACCAAGGCGAUGAUCAGUAGCCGGUCUGAGAGGAUGAACGGCCACAUUGGGACUGAGACACGGCCCAGACUCCUACGGGAGGCAGCAGUGGGGAAUCUUCCGCAAUGGACGAAAGUCUGACGGAGCAACGCCGCGUGAGCGAUGACGGCCUUCGGGUUGUAAAGCUCUGUUAAUCGGGACGAAAGGCCUUCUUGCGAAUAGUGAGAAGGAUUGACGGUACCGGAAUAGAAAGCCACGGCUAACUACGU
rnacentral:rRNA from 1 species